UCUAAACUUCUCUUAUCAUGGGAUGGAGUCAACAAAUCUUCUCCACCAACUAUGAGUUCGAUAGUACCUUUGUAGGUACUCUCUUUGCACACUCAUUAUGGGUAGGGGUGCUCCACCUCUCUCUCUCUCUCUUAAAAAAAAAUUGAGUGCAAGCAAUACUUGAACUUCACAAUCAAACUUGGCUUCACAAGCAUAUCAAUCACACUCUCUUUGGGUAGCUAUUGAUCUAGGCUCACCCCUAAUACAAUUUUAUUGAUACUACCCAAUUUGUUAUGUUUUGACACUAUGAUUUGCCAAAACAUCUAUGAACCCUAAAAUUUGUUUAGGUGGCACCAAAGUAAACAAAAUCCAUUUGGGAUAGCUUAAAAUUUAUUGAUUUAUUUAACGUAAAAAUUAAAGUAAAUAAAAGUAUAGACAACUUUAUAUGUGUAAAAAAAGGUUUUAAAAAAUUAUAUAUAAUCUAGCUUAAAAAAUAAGUCAACUCAUAAGCCUAAAUAAACUUGCGUAAAGCAAAAACAAAAAACAAAAAACAAAAAAAUUGAACCAUUGCAUGCAUAUGAGUCUAUUGUUGUAUUAUGUGAGUGUUUGGAUUCACGUUUGCACAUCUGUGUUUUCACUUUUCGGCGUUCUUUUUUUUUUUUUUUUUAGCCACAGUUGUUGACUUUUCUCCCGUGUACAGUGCACAUCAUAGGUCCCGUGUACUGUUCACAGGUCCCACAAACUUCAAUUUUCAACAACUUUUUCAUUAAAAAUGGGUUCCAAGACACAAUUCACACAUUUAAAAAUUAUUUUGCUACCGUGUUUUCAGUUUUCAGCAAAAUAAGUUGUAUCCAAAUGAACCCUAUAUAUAGAGUAAACUUGUUACACCCGAACUGUUUUACACUUUAAACACCCCAAAAGCAAUUGAAACUAUGACUUGAAGUCACAAUUUGUUUGUUAUAAACACUACUCAUUAUAUAUUGGUUUGGAAUUUUCUAAAUGGAGCAUACAGUUUGCCUUUUUUUAUUGUGAUACAUGAGCUUGUAACUUGUGAGGCAUGCAUGAUGCAUCCCUCCAAUGACAACAAUGUGCAUAUGUAGCCAGGGUAUGUAACCAGGCCAGCUUUGAAUUACAAUGAAAACUUGUUAUUAUAUAUGGUACCAUGCUAAGUUUAAUUAAAACUAAGGCUGUGUUUGUUUUGGGUGAAAAUCACUUUCAGAAAUGCUUUUCUGUAAAUGCGGGUGUUUGGUUGGUCCGGAAAAUAGAAUUUUUUGGAAAUCAAUUUCAUUUGACUGAAAAAAAUACGCUUUGACCAUAGAAAUUCAUUUUCGUUCAUAUUUUCACUUCAAAUGGUUUCCGGGGAGAGAGAGAGAGAGAGAGAGAGAGAGAGAGAGAGAGAGAGAGAGAGGAAGAAGAGGGCGAACCUCGAGCUCUAGUCCAAUCCGACGAUCGCCGGCGAACCCCGAGCUCCAAUUCGACGAUCACAUGCACCAGUUGCACCGGUCUCAUCGAUCGCAGCACUGCGUCGAUCGCACCGCGCCGCUCGAUCUCGCGAACUCCAGUCCGAUGAUCGGACGCACCAGAUCACACCGGUCUCGUCGAUCGCAGCACCGCGCCGAUCGCACCGCGCCGCUCAAUCUCACCUUCAACCCACCGAUCUCUCUGUGUGUGUGAUUUUGAUUUUGUAAGGUUGAAUUUAUUCAACCAUCUAAUUGGUUUUAUUCCGUGCCAAUUUGCUUGUAUUUCACCAUUUAGUAACCCUGUAUUUAGGUGGGCUUGUUGUAAGGGUAGUGAGUGAGAUAGAGUGAAGUUUGCUCAAAAGUUUGCAAGAAAACAGAGACUCGUGGCUUGGCCUCGCGGGUGACUCGCAGUUGCAAGCCGCCAGACGCAGCACACGUGCCAAGCAUGCCGGAAGGUGAACAGUCAUGCUAGCUGGAGCACUACAGGACAAAACAGGACAACUGGCCAUACGGUUAUCUUGCGACUGGAGCUCGCGACUUAGUCAAGUCGCGAGGUCAAGCCGCGAGCCACCCCUGUUUUGUAAAACCUGACGUUUCACAUUCCUCUCUCACUCCAAUAUAAAUACCCUUUUUACCCACGAUUGUAAGAGAGCUUCCAGAGAGAAUUUUGAGAGAGAAACCCUAAAGAAAAACAAGAUUGAUUCACCCACAAUCUAUACAUUAGAGUCUCUUCAAAUUCCUCAACUCUCUUCCUCUCCAUUGUCAGAUCCUUGAGAGGCAUUUUACCAAACCUUGUUCUCACCAUAAUCAUCACUGUGAGAGAGCUGUUUGGAUUUCUGGGAAGUAGUUAGGAAGAAACUAAUCUUCAUUGGUUGAUGCUACGGUUUAGUAGCGGAAUCCGGGAAGCUAGAAAAGAAAAAAGUUCGGCGCAACCUUGUUGGAGCAAGAAGCUUGAAGGGUUUAGGUGCACUGGGUAGAUUAGGCUUGGAGGGUCUAUUGCUGUCCAUGUAUCCCAACUAAAUUUUCUAGUGGAUUUUUUACCGCUUGGAGGGCGGCGGAGAGGUUUUACGCCGAGGGCUUCGGUUUCCUCUUCGAUAACA